AUUGAACGCUGGCGGCAUGCCUUACACAUGCAAGUCGAACGAACGAGCUUGCUCGUUAGUGGCGGACGGCUGAGUAACGCGUAGGUGACCUGCCCCGAAGUGGGGGAUAACUGCCCGAAAGGGUGGCUAAUACCGCAUGUGGCGACACUUUCAUUGGUGUCAUCAAAGCCGCGAGGCGCUUCGGGAGGGGCCUGCGUCCGAUUAGCUCGUUGGUGGGGUAAUGGCUCACCAAGGCGACGAUCGGUAGGUGGUCUGAGAGGACGAUCACCCAGACUGGGACUGAGACACGGCCCAGACUCCUACGGGAGGCAGCAGUCGGGAAUUUUGCUCAAUGGGCGCAAGCCUGAAGCAGCAACGCCGCGUGCGGGAUGAAGGCCUUCGGGUUGUAAACCGCUUUUGUCAGGGACGAUGAUGACGGUACCUGGCGAAUAAGUCACGGCUAACUACGUGCCAGCAGCCGCCGUAAGAC
rnacentral:rRNA from 1 species